AACCCCCGCAACAACAGGGCAACGAGGAAGAAAAGGAUGCCACAUCUGACGAAAAGAUCUACCCCUGGCAACUGCAGGUUUUUACAGCCAUAUGCACAGAAGUGGGCAGGCAUGGUGAAGUAUUGAAACGAAAGAACCCAAAGACCAGGUCGAUAUCACAUGUCGUAAAGGUGAUACUCCGUAUCCAGGCAUGCGCAGUAGAAAUGUACAAACUAAAGUGAGAAAUGGUCAUCGAAUGAAGAGACCAGAGUUUGCAUAUAAUUUCUUCUACGGAGUCAUGACAAGAUGCUGGAAGUCGAAGUCGAAACACAGACCCAGUUUUAUUGAUCUUUCUACUGAGAUCGGGAACACCUUCAAUGCUGCCCCCUCAGACGAUUGCUACUGCUACUCCAAACAAUAAAGAAGUCUACUACUACUCCAAACAAUAAAGAAGUCUACUACUACUCCAAACAAUAAAAUCAGCUACAAAUACAUGCAUUUUGUCUCGGGGUGUUUAUUUAAGAAAUUUUCAAAUUUAAAUUCACCAUAAUAUGGACUCCCACUUAUGAAAGAAGACUUCUCUAGAACAUACCGGUAACAUGUUUCAUAUAGAAUGGGUGAAAAAAAGUGAGGAAAAAAAAAUUUACAGUUAUGAAACCUUUUAUUAGCAUUUUAUUGUGAACUUUGAAUUAACCUGUUGUGUAUGAAAUGACGAGAUUUUAUAGUCUCUGAAAACUUCUAUCGACUGUCGUGUACAUUUGAUAAAAUACAUAACAUAUAAAUCCG